ACUUUCUGCGCAAAGAGAAUAAGGAUGGAGAAUAUGUCGGAGGGAAGAGGGGCAAUCAGAGGAGUACCGUCACGGGAGUUGGCUAGUUAAAGUUGAUUAAAGUUAUGUCGUGGUACCGUCAGUUGAGCCAAAGUGAAAAGAAGAGGAUCAUCUCCAGACGGUUGCGACGUGGCGAGAAACCUUCGUGGGAUCUUUCACGGUUGAGCAAGGGAGGAACGUGUUCUGCGCGUCUGUCCCGGAUAAGUAUCGGAGCAACAGAAAAUCGCCUCGCUUCUCUUACGAUUUAGCACAAUGUAAUUUGACCUGAACAGACUGUAAUGAAAUCAAUGAAAGGUAAGGGUGA